rnacentral:rRNA from 1 species
GACGAACGCUGGCGGCGUGCCUAAUACAUGCAAGUCGAACGCUGUAGCGAACGGGUGAGUACGGCGUAGGUAACUUCCUUAAACUGGGGGAUAAAUAUUGGAAACGAUUGCUAAUACCGCAUAUUGCGAGAUGGACCUGUGUUGUAUUGGCCAGUUGGUGAGGUAAAGGCUCACCAAGGCGACGAUACAUAGCCGACCUGAGAGGGGUGUCGGCCACAACGGGACUGGGACACGGCCCAAGCUCCUUCGGGGAGGAGCAGUAGGGGAUCUUCGGCAAUGGGCGGAAAUCUGGCCCGGCAACGCCGCGGUAGUGGAGAAAGUUUUCGGGUCGUAAAGCUCUGGUGUUAGGGGAGCGGUAUCUAACCAGAAAGCGACGGCUAACUACGUGCCAGCAGCCGCGGUAAUUC